GACAGCCAGGAUGUUGGCUUAGAAGCAGCCAUCAUUUAAAGAAAGCGUAAUAGCUCACUGGUCGAGUCGGCCUGCGCGGAAGAUGUAACGGGGCUAAACCAUGCACCGAAGCUGCGGCAGCGACGCUUAUGCGUUGUUGGGUAGGGGAGCGUUCUGUAAGCCUGUGAAGGUGGCCUGUGAGGGUUGCUGGAGGUAUCAGAAGUGCGAAUGCUGACAUAAGUAACGAUAAAGCGGGUGAAAAGCCCGCUCGCCGGAAGACCAAGGGUUCCUGUCCAACGUUAAUCGGGGCAGG
rnacentral:rRNA from 1 species